AUGAUGAUAAAGAAGGCCAGAGAGGGGGUUCCAACGAUUAAGAGCACUGUGAUGGCGUUGCGGGAUCGAUAUGGACACGUAGCUGGAAAUGUGUUGGAAGCUGGCAUGGUGCAAGUCGUGGUCCUUUUAUGGGCAGCCUUGUGGAGAAUUCGAGGGUUGGUGCUUACAGGUCUCGUUCUCUGUGAAUGGUGCAGUUCAGGCUCAUGGCUCAUGUUGAACAAAAACAUGGUUGAAUUUAAUUGGAUUAUAGAAUUUGGGAAAGACUCAUGGAACUUGGUUGAAGAAAUAUGA